rnacentral:lncRNA from 1 species
UGAAGGUCUGGCUGAAUGUAUAUUGUUGACAUAGGCAAAGCCAUGACAAAGAUCAAGGCCUCAGCCCAUGGCAAAUUGGCAAUGCCUUUCCCCAUAUGGGUUUGUCCUGCUCAAAAUGGCAAAGCCUUCUUCCUCUGGUUCAAGUAUGAAAGUGUAAGGAUUAUUGAUCAGUGUGCACCCAAACUAGAAACUUCAGCUUCCUCCCCCAAGAGGUUUACAGCCAGAGACUGCUUUCCUCCAGAGACCUCCUCCUCCUGGGACUAGCUAACUGUGCUGAAGUUCCCAGCGGUGGUGGUAUAGGUGUGGUUCCAUCAAACUGCAUAGUCCAUCUGAUCCAUCUUUUCUCUGUGUGUCUGUCAAUUCCUCAUCCCCUUGUUGCCCCAGUCAGGGUUCCAGAUCAAAGUUGUGUGGGUUGCAGCUGUACUCUCAACACAUUUAGUGUCUGUCUUAAUUCCUACUCCAUACAUAGUAGGUAUUCAAUAAGUUAGUUAUUAAUGAUGAGAAAUAAUGGUGAUCUUUCAAUAAAUAAUGCAUUAAAUGAAUGCAUUAAAAUAAAAAUAAAAUGGAGAUCACGAGUAAAAGAGGACAGAGUAUCUUUUCUGAAUGUACUGUUGUGUUGUGAGUGCUGUAAAGAUGAUCUUAAAGAAUUUUGUGAACCCCAAAAUACUAUUACCAACAUUAAGCGUUUUCAUGGAAUUCAUGCUUUUUAUCGCAAACUUACCAUUAGUGUUAUAUGAAAAACAAUAAUAUACAAGCUUAGGUUCUUGAUUCUGAGAAACUAGCAACUCCUGAGUGCCAAAUACAUUUAAAUGAAGUAAUUGAAAGGAAAACAAGAGAUAUAUGGUCCCACGAACACAGGAACACUUCUGGUCCCCAGGUAGCCAAAAUGCCUUUAUUAUUUUGUUGGUGAAUUUGACUGCUCACAUUUGUCAAGGCAUCAGCAUUAAUUUCAAUAAUAGCAUGGUUUGUAACAUUAGGUACUGUUAUGGGUGGUUUAUAUCUCUGAUUAUCUGCAAAUAGGAACAAUAACUCCUGAUAUAAUUCUAUGAUCGACUGAGAGAAUGUAAACCAGGUUCUUCAAAUUGAGUUGUCAUUAUCAAUGUACAGAGGGUUCAUUUUUCUGCUCUUUUGAUGUAUAGAUAAUAUUUAUUUUCUUACUAUGCUAGUAGUUGGUACUUAGGUUUAUCUAGUUUGUAUUUUUCCCUGGAGGGAAAAUAAUUUGGUCCUAGAGCAUAUUGGGUGGGGUGCUUGACGAAAUGUGAGUUAAAGAAUACAUCCUUUGGCAGAAGGGACACAUCUUACUAUUGAAAAUGUAAACUGAGUACUUAUGGGAUGGAAGAUGAGGGUUACUGGGGAGAAGAUUGAUUGGCACUCUUGGUAGUUGAUUCGCCCAUUGACUUUUUGCUUCUGUUUCUUGAUGUGCCUUUCUAGAAGCCAUUUGUUGCUGUUGGAUUACGAUUUCAGUGCUCCUACACUGCCUUCCUGGACAGUUAUUCCAUAGGUGGCAUUCACAUCAUCCAGACUCCUCCAUUGUCUUGCUUGUUUUUCGCCAUUAUACUUAGGGAAUGUUCUGGAAAUGCAACAUCCUGAGGUUAGGAGGGAGAUGCAUAGAACAUUCUAGGCUCAGUUCUAGCUUUUCAUAGAACAAGGUUUUCACCACAUUCUCACAGUCAGUAAUAUGACCAUGGAGACAUAAAUUCCAAUGCACUUUGCUUUUGGGGAACUUCUCAUCUGGUAUAAGUGGAACAGUCAAGGCCUCAUCUACUCCAGGAAGUUUUCUGGGCUAAGACUUAGAGCAAAUUCUUGACUUCUGUUGUGUCUUGCUGCCUAUCUGAAAGUAAUAAAACUGCUUCAUGUAAAUUCAUCUACAUGUGGGUAUUCUGUUUCAUCAGAUAGAUGAGUUGAUAAUCAGUACACAAUGAAAUGGCUUCAUACUUCCUGCUAUCUGAAGUCCUUAAGCAUGAGAAGGAAUGAUUGAUGGCGUGUGAGUGAGUGGUGCCUGUCAAAUCCACAAACAAGACUGCUGCAAUUCAUUGUUAGCUCGGCCAAGUUAACAAUGGUUGCACAGCGCAGGACCAAUUGGGCUUUAAACUAAAUCCCUAUUUCUGUGCAAACGGCUGAUUUGUUGACUCCUUCUAGAGUAAGGCUGGCUACAUGGAACCGUGAGAAGCUGAACUGUGGAGACAAGAACAGUAUUUUUUCCCCAAUGGUCAAGUUCUGUGGUGGCCUUCUGGAACAGAUUGAAUUACUUCCACAUCUUCUGAUGUAUUUUUUUCCCUUUGCUCUCUAAAACUAGAAGUAACAUUUAAAAAUCAUGUCCAUUUCAAAGUUAAAAUAUCUUCAUUUUCUUCAUUUUAAAGGUUCUUUUUUUUUUCUGAUUCUGUGCUUCAGUGAACACGUUUAUUUCCAAGCACCAAGAGCAACAGGAGCUCCUUCAGACUGUAUCAGCUUACAAGCCAGUGUGCAAAGACAGGAUGAAAAACCACAGGCUUAUGGGAUGCUUCCUGUAGGGGCCAAAUUGCUUGCCACUCUUGCUUCACCAAGCUGUCUAGAAAAACAUUUGGUUUCCAGAUGUUCAGUAUGACAGGACCCUUGUUCUUUUUCAGGAUCCAUGGGACUUGUACUAUCCAAGAUACCAUCAGAAUGUUUUUCCAUAGUGUUUUCAGGUAAACAUGUAAAGGCUAGGACAAGAAGACAGGAUAGGACUUCCCUCAAAGAACAGUACCUGAAGCUGACUACAGUCUAC